UACGUAGGGUGCAAGCGUUAAUCGGAAUUACUGGGCGUAAAGCGUGCGCAGGCGGUUUUGUAAGUCAGAUGUGAAAUCCCCGGGCUUAACCUGGGAACUGCGUUCGAGACUGCAUUGCUAGAGUAUGGGAGAGGGAAGUGGAAUUUCCGGUGUAGCGGUGAAAUGCGUAGAUAUCGGAAGGAACAUCAGUGGCGAAAGCGACUUCCUGGACCAAUACUGACACUGAGGCACGAAGGCCAGGGGAGCAAACGGG
rnacentral:rRNA from 1 species